GUGCUAUUUAGCCGAGGGUAGUCUGGCCCAAUGACUUGGCUCUAACAGUUGUUCUCCAUACUGCCAACUACAUGUUGUUCUAACUGGCCGCUCUCUGAACCACACACUCCAUUUACCGGAAAUAUGAGCAAUUAUUCCCUUUAGUUACCCUCUCUGGUAACAUUGACAGCAGCUGUUGGGCCUGGGCUCUGAACAGAUUAAGAGGUUAGAGAUCAGAAGGGUAAAGGUGAAGAAGGGUCGUGGUCACCAUGGUGCGUAAUGUGGACGAUCUGGACUUUUGCCUUGCCUCCCACCCCCAGAGCAUCCUGGAGGGGCUGCGCUCCCUCUGCUGCAACCCCAAACUAGUGGACGUGACUCUGGCCGCGGGCGGCCGCGACUUCCCCUGUCACCGGGCCGUCCUGGCGCUCUGCAGCGUCUACUUCCACUCCAUGUUCUCCGGGGACUUUGUGGAGAGCAUAGCGGCCCGGGUGGAGCUGCACGGCGUGGAUCCUGACGUAAUGGCUUCACUUCUAGACUUCUGCUACACAGGGAAACUCACCAUCAACCAGGGAAACGUGGAGGGCCUGAUACGCACGUCCAGUCAGCUACAGUUCCAGGCGGUCCGGACUGUGUGCAGCCGUUACCUCCAGCACCAGAUCGAUGCCACCAACUGCCUGGGGAUCCUGGAGUUCGGGGAGGUACACGGCUGUCCCGAGGUGGUAGCAAAGGCCUGGGGAUUCCUUCUGGAGAACUUUGAGGCCGUACAGCGCUGGGAGGAGUUUCCUCUGCUGGAGAAGGAGAGGUUAGUGGCGUGUCUGUCCAACGAGAGGCUACAGGCCAGGACAGAGUGUACCCGUGUGGAGGCAGCCCUGGCCUGGGUGAGACACCACCAGGAGUCCCGACUCCCCCACCUCCCAGAGCUUCUGGGGCUGACCCGCCUGGCCCUCCUGUCCCCUGACUACCUCACUAACACCCUUAUGAAGGACAGCCUGGUCCUAGCCUCUCUCAGCUGUGUGGAGGUGGUAGAGAGGGUAUGCAGAGAGAAAAUGGACGUGAAGCCAGGCGAUGUGGUCCAGAGUGGCAGCCCAAGUCCCCAACCCAACCUGGAGGAGGUGUUAUUCGUGAUGGGAGGACGCUCGCUGGAUGACUCAGAUGACGAAGAUGAUGAUGAUGAAGACAGAGACCCCAGGCUGCUGCCCGGGAACUGUGGCUUCUACAACCCUAAGACACAACAGUGGUAUGAGCUGCCAGUCUUCCCCAACCACAACAAGUACGGAUACUCUGUGGUCUCUCUGAAUAAUGACGUUUAUGUCACAGGGGGCUCGAGGGGUUCCCAAUCCAACACCUGGUCGACCACAGAGACCUGGAAGUACAUAACCAGAGAGGGACGGUGGGUGACGGUGGCUCCCAUGCUCCGGCCCCGGACUAACCACACCUCAGCAGCUCUCAGUGGAGAGAUAUACGUCAUCGGAGGCACUACAAUGGACUUUGUAGACAUUGAGCACUACGACCCAUACAAUGACACCUGGGCCCGAACAUGCCCUGCAGUGAAAUACGUGACAAACUUCACAGCGACUGCCUGCCAUGGUAAACUAUAUGUGAUAGGUUCCUGUGCUGUUAAGUACAACGCCCUGACUCUGCAGUGCUACAAUCCUGUUAUAGACGGAUGGAGUGUCAUCUGCUCUCCCUUCAUCCCCAAGUACCUGUCCUCUCCUCGCUGUGUCUCAGUGGAGGGGCUCAUCUACCUGAUCGCUGACAACACCAAGAAGGUUUACUGCUACGACCCACUGGCUAACAUGUGGCAGAAGGUCCAGCUGCUGCACAUGCUCCAUGAGAACGGAGAUCUUGUGGCGUUGGACAGUCAGCUCUUUGCAACGGGGGGUCACUGGAAGGGCAUGGAGGGGGACUACGGGGUGGAGGUAGAGGUGUACAACAGAGCUUCUAACAGCUGGAAGGUGGAGUGUUUCCUACCAAGGCUCUGGAUCUACAGCGGGACCUGUUCUAUCUUCCUGGACCCCUCCCAGUGGGCCGACCCAUUCCCCCUCGAUGAAACCUAAAUGGAACCGUCGGGUCCAUGGCAUGCAGCACUUGAAGUGGAAAGAUAAAGGUGCUGGUACUCAUUUUAGCAACCCACUGGGCACGGUGCCAGUUCAACCCACUGGGCACGGUGCCAGUUCAACCCACUAGGCACGGUGUCAGUUCAACCCACUGGGCACGGUGCCAGUUCAACUCAUUGGGCACGGUGCCAGUUCAACCCACUGGGCACGGUGCCAGGUCAACCCACUAGGCACGGUGCCAGUUCAACCCACUGGGCACGGUGCCAGUUCAACCCACUGGGCACGGUGCCAGUUCAACCCACUGGGCACGGUGCCAGUUCAACCCACUGGGCACGGUGUCAGUUCAACCCACUAGGCACGGUGUCAGUUCAACCCACUGGGCACGGUGCCAGUUCAACCCACUGGGCACGGUGCCAGUUCAACCCACUAGGCACGGUGCCAGUUCAACCCACUGGGCACGGUGCCAGUUCAACAUCUACUGGGCACGGUGUCAGUUCAACCCACUGGGCACGGUGUCAGUUCAACCCACUGGGCACGGUGCCAGUUCAACCCACUGGGCACGGUGCCAGUUCAACAUCUACUGGGCACGGUGUCAGUUCAACAUCUACUGGGCACGGUGUCAGUUCAACCCACUGGGCACGGUGCCAGUUCAACCCACUAGGCACGGUGCCAGUUCAACCCACUGGGCACGGUGUCAGUUCAACCCACUGGGCACGGUGCCAGUUCAACCCACUAGGCACGGUGCCAGUUCAACCCACUGGGCACGGUGCCAGUUCAACUCAUUGGGCACGGUGCCAGUUCAACCCACUGGGCACGGUGUCAGUUCAACCCACUGGGCACGGUGCCAGUUCAACCCACUAGGCACGGUGCCAGUUCAACCCACUGGGCACGGUGCCAGUUCAACCCACUAGGCACGGUGUCAGUUCAACCCACUGGGCACGGUGUCAGUUCAACCCACUAGGCACGGUGUCAGUUCAACAUCCACUGGGCACGGUGUCAGUUCAACAUCCACUGGGCACGGUGUCAGUUCAACAUCUACUGGGCACGGUGUCAGUUCAACCCUCUGGGCACGGUGUCAGUUCAACCCACUGGGCACGGUGUCAGUUCAACCCACUGGGCACGGUGUCAGUUCAACCCACUGGGCACGGUGUCAGUUCAACCCACUGGGCACGGUGUCAGUUCAACCCACUGGGCACGGUGUCAGUUCAACAUCUACUGGGCACGGUGUCAGUUCAACCCACUGGGCACGGUGUCAGUUCAACAUCUACUGGGCACGGUGUCAGUUCAACCCACUGGGCACGGUGUCAGUUCAACAUCUACUGGGCACGGUGUCAGUUCAACACACUGGGCACGGUGUCAGUUCAACACACUGGGCACGGUGUCAGUUCAACGCACACCUGAUUUGGAUUUAGGUUAAAAGUUGGGUGAAAAAAAUACGAAAUGCCCUCACGUUGAUAACUUUUUGCAAAUCCAAUUGGUUUUCCAUGUUGAUUCAACGUCAUCACAUAGAUUUUUGGGGUUGAAAUGAUUUGGAAACAAUGUUAACUCAGUAGUGGGGUGUAUACGCAGGUAUGUCCAGGCUGUAUCACAUCCGGCCGUGAUUGGGAGUCCUAUAAGACGGCGCACAAUUCGCCCAGCGUCGUCCGGGUUUGGCCCGGGGUAGAUCGUCAUUGUAAAUAAGAAUUUGUUCUUAAUUAACUGACUUGCCUGGUUAAAUAAAGGUUAAAUAAAAAUACAAAUAAAAAUAUUUGGAUUCUCAGAGGAGGAAGGGGCGGAC